rnacentral:rRNA from 1 species
ACGGGAGGCAGCAGUGAGGAAUAUUGGUCAAUGGGCGAGAGCCUGAACCAGCCAAGUCGCGUGAAGGAUGAAGGUUCUAUGGAUUGUAAACUUCUUUUGUUCGAGGGUAAAGUGAGUCACGUGUGAUUUAUUGCAAGUAUCGAACGAAUAAGCAUCGGCUAACUCCGUGCCAGCAGCCGCGGUAAUACGGAGGAUGCGAGCGUUAUCCGGAUUUAUUGGGUUUAAAGGGUGCGUAGGCGGGAUGUUAAGUCAGCGGUUGAAUAGUGUAGCUCAACUAUACUUUGCCGUUGAAACUGGCGUUCUUGAGUGUAAACGAGGUAGGCGGAAUGUGACGUGUAGCGGUGAAAUGCUUAGAUAUGUCACAGAACCCCGAUUGCGAAGGCAGCUUACCAGGAUACAACUGACGCUGAGGCACGAAAGCGUGGGUAUCAAACAGGAUUAGAUACCCUGGUA